rnacentral:lncRNA from 1 species
UUUUCAAGAGCGGGUGAUGGCGUCACCCGGCCCUGGAAGUCAUUUCUCCAUUUUUAUUUUUCUUCUAAAAUGUAUUUUGAUCUAUUAAAUGAUCUCAAAUGCAAAAGUUAUCAAUUAUAAAGGUUAAUGUCUCGUUGAGCUCUACAAUUCUGAUAUAAAGUUUAUAUUUAUCUGAGAUAAAUUGUAAAAGUUUGUAUUAAAAAAAUACAUCCCCUAAAC